GGGCAAUGCGGCAGCUACACAUGCAGUCGAGCGGAUGAGAAGAGCUUGCUCUUCGAUUCAGCGGCGGACGGGUGAGUAAUACCUAGGAAUCUGCCUGGUAGUGGGGGACAACGUUUCGAAAGGAACGCUAAUACCGCAUACGUCCUACGGGAGAAAGCAGGGGACCUUCGGGCCUUGCGCUAUCAGAUGAGCCUAGGUCGGAUUAGCUAGUUGGUGAGGUAAUGGCUCACCAAGGCUACGAUCCGUAACUGGUCUGAGAGGAUGAUCAGUCACACUGGAACUGAGACACGGUCCAGACUCCUACGGGAGGCAGCAGUGGGGAAUAUUGGACAAUGGGCGAAAGCCUGAUCCAGCCAUGCCGCGUGUGUGAAGAAGGUCUUCGGAUUGUAAAGCACUUUAAGUUGGGAGGAAGGGCAGUAAGCGAAUACCUUGCUGUUUUGACGUUACCGACAGAAUAAGCACCGGCUAACUCUGUGCCAGCAGCCGCGGUAA
rnacentral:rRNA from 1 species